CUAGCGUUAGCGCAAUUAGGGGGAACCUAUAGGUGUCAGAAACAGGGUUUAAAAAGCUCUGGCAGUAACAGGGUUUUAAAAAGCUGUGUCACUAACAGGGAUUUAAAUGGCUGUGUCAGUAACAAGGUUUUAAGUAGCUGUGUCUGCAACAGGAUUUUAAGUACCUGUGGCAGUAACAGGGUUUUAAAUAGCUGUGGCAGUAACAGGGUUUUAAAUGGCUGUGGCAGAAACAGGGUUUUAAAUAGCUGUGGCAGUAACAGGGUUUUCAGUAGCUGUGGCAGUAACAGGGGUUUAAAUAGCUGUGGCAGUAACAGGGUUUUCAGUAGCUGUGGCAGUAAGAGGGUUUUCAGUAGCUGUGGCAGUAAGAGGGUUUUCAGUAGCUGUGGCAGUAAGAGGGUUUUCAGUAGCUGUGGCAGUAACAGGGUUUUAAGUAGCUAUGUCAGUAACAAGGUUGUAAAUAGCUGUGGAGGUAACAGGGUUUUCAGUAGCUGUGGUAGAAACCAGGUUUUCAGUAGCUGUGUCAGUAACUGGGUUUUAAAUAGCUGUGGCAGUAACACCGUUUUAAGUAGCUGUGUCAGUAACAAGGUUUUAAGUAGCUGUGGCAGUAACAAGGUUUUAAAUAGCCAUGGCAGUAACAUGGUUUUAAAUAGCUGUGUCAGUAAUAAGGUUUGAAAUACCUGUGGCAGAAACAUGGUUUUAAAUAGCUGUGUCAGUAACAGGGUUUAAAUAGCUGUGGCAGUAACAGGGUUUUCAGUAGCUGUGGCAGUAAGAGGGUUUUCAGUAGCUGUGGCAGUAAGAGGGUUUUCAGUAGCUGUGGCAGUAAGAGGGUUUUCAGUAGCUGUGGCAGUANNNNNNNNNNAGUAACAGGGUUUUCAGUAGCUGUGUCAGUAACAAGGUUUUAAGUAGCUGUGUCAGUAACAAGGUGUUAAGUAACUGUGUCAGUAACAAGACUUUAAAUAGCUGUGUCAGUAACAAGGUUUUAAGUAGCUGUGGCAGUAACAUAGUUUUAAAUAGCUGUGGCAAUAACAUGGUUUUAAAUAGCUGUUGCACUAACAUGGUUUUAAAUAGCUGUGUCAGUAAUAAGAUGUUAAGUAGCUGUGGCAGUAACAGGGUUUUAAAUAGCUGUGGCAGUAACAUGGUUUUAAAUAGCUGUGGCACUAACAUGGUUUUAAAUAGCUGCGUCAGUAACAAGGUUAAGUAGCUGUGUCAGUAGCAAGGUUUCCAGUAGCUGUGGCAGUAACAGGGUUUUCAGUAGCUGUGGCAUUAACAAGGUUUUAAGUAGCUGUGGCAGUGACAGGGGUUUCAGUAGCUGUAUCAGUAACAGGGGUUUCAGUAGCUGUGGCAUUAACAAGGUUUUAAGUAGCUGUGUCAGUAACAAGGUGUUAAGUAGCUGUGUCAUUAACAGGAUUUUAAAUAUCUGAUCAGCAAUAGGGUUUUAAUUAGUUGUGUCAGUAAUAUAGAUUUAAAUAGCUGUGUCAGUAACAAGGUUUUAAGUAGCUGAAUCAGCUACAGGGUUUUAAAUAGCUGUGUCAGUAACGAGGUUAAGUAGCUGUGUCAGUAACAAGGUUAAGUAGCUGUGUCAGUAACAAGGUUUUAAGUAGCUGUGUCAGUAACAGGGCUUUAAAUAUCUGUGGCAUUAACAUGGUAUUAAAUAGCUGUGUCAGUAACAGGGUUUUAAAUAGCUGUAUCAGUAAUAAGGUGUUUAGUAGCGUUGUCGGUAACAGGGUUCUAAAUAGCUGUGGUAGUAACAGGGUUUUCAGUAGCUGUGGCAGUAAGAGGGUUUUCAGUAGCUGUGGUAGUAAAAGGGUUUUCAGUAGCUGUGGCAGAAACAGGGAUUUUAGUAGCUGUGGCAGUAAGAGAGUUUUAACUAGCUGUGGCAGUCACAGGGUUUUAAAUAGCUGUGGCAGAAACAAGGUUAAGUAGCUUUGUCAGUAACAGGGUUUAUAUAGCUGUGGCAGUAACAGGGUUUUCAGUAGCUGUGGCACUAACAGGGUUUUCAGUAGCUGUGGCACUAACAGGGUUUUCAGUAGCUGUGGCAGUAACAGGGGUUUAAAUAGCUGUGGCAGUAACAAGGUGGUAAGUAGCUUUUGUCAGUAACAUGGUUUCAAAUAGCUGUGGCAGUAACAAGGUGUUUAGUAGAUUUUGUCAGUAACAUGGUUUUAAAUAGCUGUGUCAGUAAUACGAAUUUAAGUAGCUGUGGCAGUAACAGGGUUUUAAAUAGCUAUGGCAGUAACAUGGUUUUAGAUAGCUGUGGCACUAACAUGGUUUUAAAUAGCUGCGUCAGUAACAAGGUUAAGUAGCUGUGGCACUAACAUGGUUUUAAAUAGCUGUGGCAGUAACAAGGUGUUAAGUAGCUUUUGUCAGUAACAUGGUUUUAAAUAGCUGUGGCAGUAACAAGGUUUAAAAUAGCUGUGUCAGUAACAAGAUUAAGUAGCUGUGUCAGUAACAAGGUUUUAAGUAGCUGUGGCAUUAACAGGGUUUUCAGUAGCUGUGUCAGUAACAAGGUUUUAAGUAGCUGUGUCAGUAACAAGGUGUUAAGUAACUGUGUCAGUAACAAGACUUUAAAUAGCUGUGUCAGUAACAAGGUUUUAAGUAGCUGUGGCAGUAACAGUUUUAAAUAGCUGUGGCAAUAACAUGGUUUUAAAUAGCUGUGGCACUAACAUGGUUUUAAAUAGCUGUGGCAGUAACAUAGUUGUAAAUAGCUGUGGCAAUAACAUGGUUUUAAAU
rnacentral:lncRNA from 13 species